GGCCUCGUAGCUCAGUUGGCUAGAGCGUUGGCUGUAGUGAAGCCCUCACCUUGCUGGCAUGGGUUCGAAUCCCACCAAGGCCA
rnacentral:tRNA from 1 species